GGGACCAUAGUUCAGUGGGAGAACACACGGCUGAAGACCGUGACGUCCGGGGUUCAAAUCCCCGUGGUCCCA
rnacentral:tRNA from 1 species